GAUUGCAUUGUCCAAAUGCUUCUUGAACUGUCAGGCUUGGCACUGUGACCACUUCCCUGGGGAGCCUGUUCCAGCACCCAACCACCCUCUAGGUGAAGAGA